UAUUUCUGAUCGAAAAUUUUAGUGCUAUAUCACCACUUUUUAUAGGAUUUUUAUUUUCAGCCGUUAAAAAUUAUUGAUUUUGAAUCCUUUCGAUCACUAGGUAAAUGAUAUCGAAAAAUCGCAAAAAUUAUUUUCUAGAAACUUCAAAUGCGCUAGAUCAAGUCUAACGGAGCCGAUCGUCAAUUCGAAAAUUCCAUCAUCGAAAACGGCUCAGGAGCACGGAGGCCUCCGUGGGCCUCCGUGCUCCUGAGAGCACAGCAGCCCUGCUCUAUAUAUAUAUAUAUAUAUAUAUAUAUGUUAUAUAUAAUUAUUUAUUUAUAUAUAUAAAUAUAAAUUAAAUAAAUUAUACAAAUAUAAAAAAUUUAUAUAUUCAAGCUGUUAACGAGCCGAAUAAGAGCGAGCUGACCUC
rnacentral:lncRNA from 1 species